CUCACCCUGGUGCAUGAUGGUACACAGCUGUCCUCACAGAAGCCGAUGUAGGAAGUUACAGCCUCUGUGAACUCAUCCAGACUGUUUGCAGAGCUUUAGUUUCUGCCUGUAUGGAGGAAUCAGAUGGACCAUGACGUGGUCAGAGUGUCCCAGUGCAGCACGAGGGACCUUCAACUCUCAUAUAGAGAAGACUUCAAGGACUGCCUUUUUUCAUCUACGUAACAUAUCAAAAAUCAGGAACUUCCUAUCUCAAACAUUAGUUCAUGCAUUUGUCACUUCCAGACUGGACUACUGUAAUUCUUUGUUAUAAGGCUGCUCUUGUAAAUCUUGUAAAAUAACUAAGAAAAGGGAUCAUAUUACUCCUGCAUUAACUUCUCUGCACUCUUUAACAGACUUCUCUCCCUGUUAAAUCAAGAAUAGAUUUUAAGGUACUUCUCCUUACCUACAAGGCACUUGCUAGUGAGGCACCGUUGUAUCUUAAAGAGCUUGUAACACCUUAUUGCCCUACAAGGCAGCUGCACUCCAUAGAUGCUGGGUUACUUGUUGUUUCUAUGGUUUUAAAAAGUAGGCUGGGGGCCAGAGCCUUCAGUUUUCAAGCUCCUCUUUUGUGGAACCAACUUCCACUUUCAGUCCGGGGGCAGAUUCGGUCAGCUCUUUUAAAGUAAAACAUUCAUCUCUGAUUUUGCCUAUAGUUAGGGCUGGCUCAGGUUAGCUCGGACCAGCUCUUAGUUAAGCUACUAUAGGCUUAGACUGCCGGGGGACUUCUUAGGAGCUCCACUCCCAUGCUCUCGUUCUACAGUAUUCACGUUUUAUUAAUGCACAUGACUAAUUCAGCUUCUUUCCGGGAGUUUUUUGUGCUUUCUCCCCUAGCAGGUCUCCGUAGAUUGUAGUUCCUUCUGGACUCUGGUCCUGACACCUGCCGUGGCCCUGCUGACACCUGCUGACACCUGCUGCUGCCAUCAUUAUUAUUUUAGAUAUUAAUCAUAUUACUGUAAUCAUAAACCAACAUUACCCUAUCCUUCUUCUUUGUGCUUUCCCUCCCCACAGGCUUCUGUGGAUGGUGGUU
ensembl:lncRNA